UACGGAGGAUCCAAGCGUUAUCCGGAAUCAUUGGGUUUAAAGGGUCCGUAGGUGGAUAAUUAAGUCAGGGGUGAAAGUCUGCAGCUCAACUGUAGAAUUGCCUUUGAUACUGGUUAUCUUGAAUUAUUGUGAAGUGGUUAGAAUAUGUAGUGUAGCGGUGAAAUGCAUAGAUAUUACAUAGAAUACCAAUUGCGAAGGCAGAUCACUAACAAUAUAUUGACACUGAUGGACGAAAGCGUGGGUAGCGAACAGG
rnacentral:rRNA from 1 species